GACGGGUGAGUAACGCGAGGGAACCUGCCCAGUGGUGGGGGAUAACUGCGGGAAACUGCAGCUAAUACCUCAUGNCCCCGAGAGGGGAAAGAUUUAUCGCCAUUGGAGGGGCCCGCGUUCGAUUAGGUAGUUGGUGGGGUAAUGGCCCACCAAGCCUACGAUCGAUAGCUGGUCUGAGAGGAUGAUCAGCCACACUGGGACUGAGAUACGGCCCAGACUCCUACGGGAGGCAGCAGUGGGGAAUAUUGGACAAUGGGGGCAACCCUGAUCCAGCAAUGCCGCGUGAGUGAUGAAGGCCUUCGGGUUGUAAAGCUCUUUUGCCAGGGACGAUGAUGACGGUACCUGAGAGAAUAAGCCCCGGCUAACUUCGUGCCAGCAGCCGCGGUAAUACGAAGGGGGCAAGCGUUGUUCGGAAUUACUGGGCGUAAAGGGCGCGUA
rnacentral:rRNA from 1 species